CAAAAGAUAUCGGACCGAAAACAAAUGGAUCUGGACAAUUCUAAUGACCUCAAUGUCCAGGUUAGAAGUCCAUCAAAUUUCAAGAUCUUUACGCCAAAGAAGGUAUUGGCAUUUGAGGAUACAAAACAAAGGGCAUGGCAGUGGAAAAAGGCGAUUGAGAGUCUUCAAAA